CAUAUUAUUUGUUACACCUUUUGAAAAUUAAAAACAACUUUUAGAACUGUGUGUUAUCUCCUAGGUGUUCUUUCACUUUCACUUUCAACCUUAAACAAGCUUAACUUGUUUGAGGUGGUCCUGAAGCUUUUACCUCCUUUAUGGGUAAUAGUAUCCCAGGUGACAAUUCAAGGUGCUGCUGUGAUUCUGCCUAACUCUCUGAAGGUUGUUGUCUUCAUGUGUUCAUGUACUUGGAUCUCCAUUUGGAUUCUCACAUUCCACACAAAAUGCUAUGCAGUUGUAGUGUGGGGUGUCAUGGAACAGAAGGGUGGCAAGGAAAGGGAUGGUAACUACAGCUGCCACCAGACAUGCUCCUGGGACUUCAAAUUAACACCAGUCAUCUGAACUUGGAACACCUAAAAUAAAAGGAUUCUAGAUUUUGCUGUGUUGGUGUAUAAAUUUAGUAUUCCAACUAGCUUAGAGCUCCCAUUGGCAUUCAGAAUGCUUUAUAUGUCUAGUAGAGUGUCAAAGAAUGCUUCUGCUUUGGAGUGUUUAUCAUCAGUUCUUAAAACCUGAUUGAAACCAGCCUGUGUUUAGUGAGUUGCAUGAAACAACGUUUGAAGGGUUCAGCUUCAGUACCAAAUCCAGUUUGUGAGGUGCCUGCAUCUAUCUGCUUUUUUGGUGCCAUCUCACAGUACACUGCCUCUUAAGGGGUGCUUUGACUGAGGAGCUGUAGGUGCAAACAGAUUAGUGAAGUGGUCCAAGUUAACGUUUUUCUCCCAAGGAAUAUGUUUAUUCCUGUCAUUAAUUCACACAGUUUAGCUUAGAAAACAAUUUUAUCAAAAAGGCUGAGAGCCCAAUAAAUUUACAGCUAGGCUGGAGUAAGCUGGAGGUGAAGGAGUGGGGGAUGUGACUUCUUGGUUGUAUGUGUUCCCAAAACUGCUGUCUAUUCACACUGACAUUCAAUUGCUUUUGAAGAGGUGCUCUUACUGUAUGUUAAAUUGUAACAAGUGAACACAAGAGAUAAUUGGGGUUUUGAUGCUGAGAUUUUUGGAUCUAUCUGUGUGGGAGCUUUACUAUGAAGCAGGAACACGUAUUUAACAUCGAAUAGGAAUUGUUAAUUUUAUUCAACUUUUGCAUUGUUGUUAAUAGUUGUAACUCUCCUAAUAAGAUUAAAUAGUGUGUAGAUAAUGCUGGGUGUUCUUUAAAAAUAAAUAGUAAAACUGCUGAA